AUGGUGCCAGCGGCCCGGGCCGGGGGCGUUGCGGCGUUGGGCAGGCGGGCAGGCGGGCAGGGACCGGGGCCCGGCACUGCGGAGCCCCCAGCUGAGGGGCCGCGCCGGCUGCGGAGCCCCGAGCGAGCGCCGAGCGGCAGCGGGCGCGGGAGCGGGAGGCGGCCAAGCCACGGAGGCUGGAUUUCCCGGGGACCGGGAAGGGGAGGCGGGGGGGAUCCCGCCCGCGCGCUCCGCCCCCGCCCCCGCCCCCGCGCAGGGCGACCAAGCCGGGAGAGGGAGAGGGAGAGGGAGGGGGACCGAGCUCCUCGCCCCCGCGCGGACCCAGGAGAGCCGAGGUCGCCGCCCGCGGGCGGCCGCCGGGGUCCCCGAGGAGCGCCCACCUCGCUGAGCGACGGUGCUGGGGGCACCCAGCGUAGGGGCAGGAAUGAGAUCCCCCUCCCCGGGGACCCAGGAACAGGCACCCGAAGUGUCACGGCCACGCACAGCCGACCUGGGCACAGGGACCCAAGCCCGGCGGCGGGCGGGCGGCCGGGGGCCAGCUUAGCCUCACUGACCGGGUCUCGCCCCCCGCCGAGGCGCAGUCACGCCCUGAAUGUCACACACAGCUCCCAGGCCCGUCCGCUUAGGAGACUCUCCUUCGGGCUUUCCCAGUCGGCCGCCCGACCUCAGCUCCUGGCCUGGGGUCAGGGGGGCCCCCUUCUUCUGCCCCAGCCCCUGCCAGGAUGGGGCGCUGUGCCCGGCCUCGGAGCCGCUGGCAGGCAUCCCCCACCCACAGUCCGUACAGCCGAGGCAUCCCCAGUGUGGAGGGAGAGCCCCGCUGUACCUGCAGCCUGUGCUGGGCCCCCGCCCGUGCCCACUGUGCCCGCCCGCCUGUGGGCCCUGAGCCUGGGAUUGUGCCGUGGCGGUGUCGGGGUCGGGGGAAAGGGACUGUUCGAAGCACAGCUGGAGGCUGCGGAGCCCGGACACAGGCUGCGGGAGCCGAGAGGCGGAGAGCUGACUGCAGCAGUCCCCUGGCUUGAAUCCGUCUUGGCGCCCAGAGCGAUGCUGUAA
rnacentral:lncRNA from 1 species